UGAAUAGCUUUGAUCUUUGGUUGGAGAUUUUGCAUUGCUAAAGUUGAUUCAACCUGUUGCUUUGUCAAAGGGAAAGUGGCAGCUUUAACCAAGAGAGUAAGCAAUAUGAUUGCGAAUCCAUAGGAAUAAGGCACAUGCACAGCUUGCAGUCCAUCCUUCAUCACCUUCAACACAACUUCCAUGGCGUCAGAAAUGAAAGCAAACCAACCACCACUUUUCUGAGCAGUACCGGCAGCAGUAACAUCGGGAGCAACACCAGGAUCAGCCGCGACGGCAGCAUCAGCUAACGUGUAGAGAAGUCCCUCCGCUCGGCUUACAACAGCUUCAAAAUCAAAAUUAGAGUGAAGCGAGUGAAUCGGAGGAAGGUCAUGGAAGCUGAAUUUCACUCUAGUAGAGAUAAGUCUUCGCCGGUGAAAUACAUGGCGAGAAAGCGACGGCAAAGGAGUUCCGAUGAACGAUGACGGAGAUGAAAUUAAGGUUUUCGCCAUGGGAAAAAUUGCUCCGGCGGGGAUGAACGGAGAAAAAUGGGAAGAGUUCAAUUCAGCUUCUCAUGGA
rnacentral:misc_RNA from 1 species